AUGUGUGUGUGUGUGUUACUUUUAACACAUUAUCUGCCAUUGAAGGCAAUAGACGUCCAAUCGAUGCCUCCUUGUGACAAAUUCGUUUCAAUUCACAUCUGAAGGAUUAAAAGAGCCACAUGAUUGGAGUCAAGUUUAAAUAUUAUUUUAACUCCUUUUAAAUCAAGUUUUGAGCUCCAAGACUUUAAAAUGUGCCAUGUCAUGUAGCUCUUUUCAUAAUUCGACAGUGAAUUUAAAUGAGUUCACCACAAGUAGACAUCCAAUCCCACUUCAAAUGAAUUGGACGUCGAUCACUGUCAAUGGCUGCCAUUGAGUCGGGACACUUUUUCGUGAGUUUAUGUCUUCAGUCAGAACACCUACCAACAGCUACUGAACUCAGUUCGUGUCCUCCAUGAACUUCCUACAUUCCCGAUAAUGGUGACGUGCCGGGGGGAGAAGGCUUUCUGGAUGGAAACCUGCCACGCCAAAGCGGCAGACACAUUCAACUCUGACAGGUGCAUGAGAGAUGAGUGUCAGCCCCGAGGGAGUUGUGAGUGGAGCCAUGUUAGCACGUGGACGCUAGCUCGUUUCCUCCUUUUACCGGUUUCUCGGAAGCCAUAAGCAACAUGUUCCGACCGGGGCAGCGACCGGUAGAACUCUACGAGGGGGCAUCUGCUGCAGGCGCUGGGAUGAACGGCAAAGAGUGGCAGCGG